rnacentral:rRNA from 1 species
UACCCGAAUGGGGAAACCCAGUGUGAUUCGUCACACUAUCAUUAACUGAAUCCAUAGGUUAAUGAGGCGAACCGGGGGAACUGAAACAUCUAAGUACCCCGAGGAAAAGAAAUCAACCGAGAUUCCCCCAGUAGCGGCGAGCGAACGGGGAGGAGCCCAGAGCCUGAAUCAGCAUGUGUGUUAGUGGAAGCGUCUGGAAAGGCGCGCGAUACAGGGUGACAGCCCCGUACACAAAAGCGCAUGUGCUGUGAGCUCGAUGAGUAGGGCGGGACACGUGGUAUCCUGUCUGAAUAUGGGGGGACCAUCCUCCAAGGCUAAAUACUCCUGACUGACCGAUAGUGAACCAGUACCGUGAGGGAAAGGCGAAAAGAACCCCGGCGAGGGGAGUGAAAAAGAACCUGAAACCGUGUACGUACAAGCAGUGGGAGCCCCACCACUAAGCCAGUGGUGAACUCCACAUACGCAUCCUUUGCUGAGGAUACGGUUAACGGAGCGAAAGCGACGUUCAACCGCAAAAGAAGCAGAGGGGGCUUAGUGGUGGGGUGACUGCGUACCUUUUGUAUAAUGGGUCAGCGACUUAUAUUCUGUAGCAAGGUUAACCGUAUAGGGGAGCCGCAGGGAAACCGAGUCUUAAUUGGGCGUUAAGUUGCAGGGUAUAGACCCGAAACCCGGUGAUCUAGCCAUGGGCAGGUUGAAGGUUGGGUAACACUAACUGGAGGACCGAACCGACUAAUGUUGAAAAAUUAGCGGAUGACCUGUGGCUGGGGGUGAAAGGCCAAUCAAACCGGGAGAUAGCUGGUUCUCCCCGAAAGCUAUUUAGGUAGCGCCUCGUGAAUUCAUCUCCGGGGGUAGAGCACUGUUUCGGCUAGGGGGCCAUCCCGGCUUACCAACCCGAUGCAAACUGCGAAUACCGGAGAAUGUUAUCACGGGAGACACACGGCGGGUGCUAACGUCCGUCGUGAAGAGGGAAACAACCCAGACCGCCAGCUAAGGUCCCAAAGUCAUGGUUAAGUGGGAAACGAUGUGGGAAGGCCCAGACAGCCAGGAUGUUGGCUUAGAAGCAGCCAUCAUUUAAAGAAAGCGUAAUAGCUCACUGGUCGAGUCGGCCUGCGCGGAAGAUGUAACGGGGCUAAACCAU